UUUAUUUUACGCGCCUUUGUAAAAUUUAUCACGCCCUUGCUCGCCUCGCCUCGCCAAGCCUCCCCGACGCCCUUUACUCACCAGCAUCCAAAGGAUCAACGAUAAAAGUGAUAAGAUCACAAAAUCCAAGAAGAUCUUUGGAUCUGUCCCGCUUUGCUGUUACGCAAAGAGUGCCUUAAAUAACAACGGAAGAAAUUACUAAACGGCGUUAUUACUAAACGAAAAUAAUCGUCUACGUUUUGAUUGAUUUUCCCUACCCCAUUUAUGAGAAAUUGGCAGUGCAAAAGUUCUGGCUAGGAAUACAUCCUCCGCCUCCACCCCAUCGACGGAGUGCUAACGUGGCCUUUGGUAGUAGCUGACUAGUGGUGGACCGUACCAAAUCGAUGACUAUAUUUGUUCGUUCGAGGGACUUGGUGAUUUAACAAUGGACUCCCUAGCCAUCUUCAUCUUUCUGUGGGCCGUGCUGGCCCUCUUCUCCGUCUGGCUGUGCAAGCUGCUCUACCACAAGUAUCUCAACAAGGAAAAGCCCACCAGUGCCGCCAACAGUCGCCAGAGUAGCGUGGUCCCAGGAGCGGCCGCCGUCGUCAGCUCCUCCAAGCCGGAGAAGCGACUCUCCGAGCCGAGGGACAUGCUGGCCACCAAGAGCAAAGUCGAGGAUCUCUCCAAGCCUCUGACGGGCGGCUCGGCAGGUCGUGGUCGCUCUUCGGCCUCGCCCCUAAGCGGUGGUGCAGCUGGAGCCGCCGGUCCGCGUCGUCGAGUGGUGCGCCAGAGCUCCACGGGGCCGGAAAACCGCAAGAAGCGAUAUGUUCCGCCGCCCUCCAAUGUGGUGGGGCCCGAAACGAGCUCUGUCACUUGGACCAGCCAAGUUUUCCGCUGGCUGUACAGCGAUCUAGUCAUUGUCAACGAGCUGCUCAUGUCCUGGGUGAUAGCCAUCAACGACUCGCUCCGCAAGUCUGUGGAGGAGCAUGGAGUGGCCGUGGAAGUAGUGCGGGUACUGCCCGACAGCCCUGCUCCGGGGCUGAAUAACAUCUUCUGCAACUGCGAUGAGAACAAUCCUGCGGACAUGCUCAUUACCUUCGACUGCGAUGCCACGCCUGUGCUGCAGGUGAAGACCUUCCGGCAGAAGUCGGGCAAGGUAGAGACCUCCCACUAUAAGGUGACCGUGUCGCGAUUCCGUGCCCGCAUGGCCAUCCCCAUGAACUACAACACCCUCAAGGGCGAGAUGCGUGUGGAGGGCUACCCCGAUGUGCGCAUUGCAAUGAACAGCGUGGGGGCCAUCAAGGCCAUGGAUCAGGACGAACAGCAGCUCCAGACCGUCAUCAGCGACAUCCUUACGACGGCCCUGCGUGACACCGUCUACCCAGUGGAUUUUUCCAUCUACUCCACCUGCCCGCGCGCCGAGGUGGAGCCCCUGGAUUUGCCUGUAAUCUAUCCCGUUCACUAUGACUCCCUGGCGCACAACAUGGAGCACCACCUGGGAGGUGUGGGCCUGCGGGACUCGCAGCACAUGGUAUCCGGCCGGCGGCUGCUGGUGAAAAUCGUCAAGGGUGAGGGUCUGAGGGACGCCCACGACCCAUAUGUGGUAAUCGAGAUGGACGAGCCGGCCCAGAAGAACCAGACAGGCACCCAACGCGGCAGCAGACCUUACUGGGAUGAGCACUUCCUCUUUGAACUCUCCCCCCAGUCUGCAGAGAUACUCUUCGAGGUGUAUGACCAUCCAGUGAUCGCCUCGGAUCCCCCCAAAUUCCUCGGUCUCGGCCUGGUGGGUAUCGAUGAGCUGGCCGUGGGUCCGGCAUCCACCCAGCUACUGCAGCUUCAGCCACGUCCCUACGAGACCCAGCCCGUGGCAGGGGCCAUCACCGUGGACUUUGUCUUUAUCGAGGGAGCCGAGAUACCGGCGGGCGCCCGUCCACAGCGGCUCAAGGAGGCCCUGCGCCUCAGCACGCCGGCCAUCAACGAACACAUCCGCAACGGAGCCGACCUGGCUGACGCUGCGGUACGUGCUCUACAGGACGGCGCCCUCUCCGCCACCGGAAGCGGAGGCCAGCCUAGCAAGAGCACCCUCAUCAUCCACAGCGUUCAGCGGAACUCGAGCAAUCCGAAUGCAUUUAAGGUCGAGGUUAACAAGGAUGGCCGAAUCGAAGUCAUAGAAUCACCCACAGAGCUGGACCAGGCCGUGGCCCAGGCGUUCGAGCGGGCCGCCAGCGAAGCAGCAGCUGCCAAGGCCGAUCAGCUCCAGCUGGAGCUCGAGUUGGACCCCGAAACGGAGGUCCGGCCGCUGGCGAGCGGCGGUAACAGUGAGCCGCUCAACGAAACAGGUAACGGUAAUGGUACCGCCAACGAGGACAGCACCACGGAGUUCGGGCAGCCGAAUGCAGCCUCCUCGCCCAACGGCAGCGGUUACCAUAACAACUACAACCUGAACGGGAGCAGUGGACUGGCCGGGAACGGCAACGGCAGCUCCAACCUAAAUGGUGGGGGCUACAGCUCGAACAGCCUGCCUAGAAACGGGGCCCAUUUGGGGCUGCAGACGGGCGAGGGCAUGGACGUGCUGGACGACCGCGGGCGCAGCAAAAAACGUAAUUUCUUUGGCACCCUGAAGAAGCGGCUCAGCCGCUCCAAGACACGCACCCUCUCGGCAGAUCAGCCCAAUAGCAAUCACAAAUCACUAUCAGCCACCAACUCGAACUACGCCAAUACUACAACAACAUCGACAGGACUACCCCGAACCGCCACCGGAACCCUCAAUGGUGAUUCUUCCCGUUCAUUAUCUGUCGAUCGUGCCACUCUGUCUAAAAGCAAUUCACUUGGACCCCGAAUGGGCAUUGGCUCAGCCAUCACAGACCACUCACGACGCUCUUCAAUUUCAGAAUCCUCGGCCAUCUCAGGUUUCUCCUCGGCCAGCAACAAGACCUACGUUCACGAGGCCUCCACACUGGUCCUGGAGACCAUCGAGAACGGCGUGAAGCGCCACUUUAUUGUGCCUUUGGCCAUUGCCCAGCGACCGCGCUGGCGCCGCAAGGGUACCAAGCUGCACAUCUACAACGAUCACACCUUCAUUGCCAAGCAUUUGAGCGGAAGCGGCUUGCAGUGCUCGAUCUGCAUGAAGUCCAUACCUCGGAGGCCAGGCAAGCAGGGAUACGAAUGUCGCGACUGCCAGCUGAUCUGUCACAAGCAGUGUCACGUACGGGCGCCACAGGCCUGUCCCAACCCCACGGUGCUCUCCAUGGAACUAAGCUCCUACCCGGUACUCACAGAGAGAGAUCUGAACCUAGUUAUCUAAAGCAUUAUCUGUUUACCAAAUCAAUAUAAAUACUCGUAAUUUUUCUUUUUUAAACUCCGCCAAAUGCAGUUAAAUAUUUACCACCAGCAAUUUGCAAAUAAUUCAAUUAUUUUGAUCUUUGAAUUCGCGUCGGAAGAGCGUUUAGAGCUCUGAUUAAAUUUGGCUUGAAUUAUGUACAAUAUUGCUUCGGCUUCUACUGACUGCUUGCUAACCAUCCACUACGAUCAUCUGAUCACCUCCAUUCAUCCAUCAAGCUUGGCCACGCCAUAAAUGCAAUUGAAUUCAGUUCCGUUGUCUUCUGUCUCGACAUUAAUCCGAGCUCUUCUUUCAUCGCACCACUCGAUCACCACACAACCAUCUCGCUCCACCACACGGACACAGGAUGGACAUUGAGCAGUAGGCUUAGCUGCAGCACAAUCAACAAACAAAACACAAUACAAUAAUUAUUUUGAGGGCGGCAGCGGUCGAUACGUAAGAACUCAAUCAAUUAUCCUUCUGAAACUCCUCCUUCGAUUCUUCGAAACUGCCUCAGUUCUAGAUACGUUGAGUUAUUGGACGUGUGAGAACUAUCCACUCUUUAGGCGGAACAAAACUUAACUCGGCUGCGGCAGAUCGGAGUAUACGGAAACUGUAAAGGAUCAUCCUCAUUCAUCAUCCUUCCCUGCCCCGAGGACACUUAAUCGAAUUACUAUGCUUAGAAGGAGGAACAGCAGGACACUUCGGCUAUCGAAAUCUUUGAUAAAUUAUGUUAUUUAUUUAUAUACACACACACACACCCAUGUGCAAUAAGUUCUUUGGUUUCGUUUUUUACCUUUCUCUGUGUCAACAAGUAGACCCCUUUGAUAUUUUGUAUUUUCUAUAAACACGAAUAAUAAUUGUACAAAAUAAGAGCGAA